GUGUAAUUCAUUCUUAGAUAAAAGCAGAUAUUCGAUCACUGAAACCACUGAAGUGUUAAACAGAAUAAAAAGGGCAGACUGGAAACUUCAAGAGCUUGUACCCAUCUGUUAAAAUAGAACCGACAUGUUUGGCAUUCUAUAAGUUCUUACUGUUCGAUACAUUAUCAGCUCAACAGAUAGCUCAGUUCCUAAGGAAAUUAGCUAAUCUUAUCUGCCACAACCCAUAAUUCUGUUUCAGAGAAAGGUUUUACCACCAGACCACAGGUAUUCCUAUUGGGAGUCCAAUGGCAGGCCCUCUGGCCAAAAUAUUCUUGAGGAGUAUAGAAGACCCAAUCCUCCAAAAGUUUGAGCCAAACAUCAAAGUAUAUCUUAGGUAUGUGGAUGACAUCUUCACCCUGUGGGAAAAUGAUGCAAAAGUUAGCAAUUUUGAAGCUGCAUUAAUACUCCCUUCAUAUGGCCUAAAACUCAAAAAGAUUCAACAGAGUCAUAAGAAAGCACACU
rnacentral:lncRNA from 1 species